rnacentral:rRNA from 1 species
UGGGGAAUCUUCCGCAAUGGGCGAAAGCCUGACGGAGCAACGCCGCGUGAGUGAAGAAGGUUUUCGGAUCGUAAAGCUCUGUUGUCAGGGACGAGAGAGUCUGUCAGGAAAUGGGCAGGCUAGGACGGUACCUGGCGAGAAAGCCACGGCUAACUACGUGCCAGCAGCCGCGGUAAUACGUAGGUGGCGAGCGUUGUCCGGAAUUAUUGGGCGUAAAGGGAGCGCAGGUGGGAAAGUAAGUCAGUCUUAAAAGUGCGGGGCUCAACCCCGUGAGGGGAUUGAAACUACUUUUCUUGAGUGCAGGAGAGGAAAGCGGAAUUCCUAGUGUAGCGGUGAAAUGCGUAGAUAUUAGGAGGAACACCAGUGGCGAAGGCGGCUUUCUGGACUGUAACUGACACUGAGGCUCGAAAGCGUGGGGAGCGAACAGG